GGCGGAGGGCAGCAAGUUAGCCCGCGGCGGGGUGGCGGCGGCCGGCCUGUGAGCGCGACCUAUUUACGAGGCCAGUUACCACUCAUGAAGAAGUGUUGGACUAGUUGGACUUAUUGGCCUGAGACAGUCUAUUUGUUCUACGUAUUUUUUAUUUAUCCCACCGCUUUGAGCUUUACUGUAACGGCUGAGAAACUUGGAAAAUAAAAUAACAUGAUGUGGUCUUGAACCUUCUUUUUGAGGAAAUAAUAAAGUGCCAGAGUGAAAAGCCAGAAUGGCAGCCAGAGAGAGGCUGUUUGAACUUUGGAUGCUUUAUUGUACAAAGGUGCUGGAGAGAUAGCUCAGUGGUUGAGAGCACUGACUGUUCUUCCAAAGAACCGAGGAUCAAAUCCUACCGUCCAUGUGGCAGCUCACAACUGUCUGUAACUCCAAGAUCUGACACCUUCACAC